rnacentral:Y_RNA from 1 species
UGCUGGUCCGAGUGCAGCGGUGUUUGUGACUAAUUGAUCACAGCCAGUUACAGAUUCCUUUGCUCCUCCACUUCCACUGCUCCACUUGACCUGCCUAAA